AAGGAGUCAUGACAAAAAGGCGCGAGACAUCUUGUGAGGAAUAGCAGAAAUAAUAUGACUAGAGGGCGAAUGCAGCCCUCUUUGUAUCAGUAAAGAACGGGCCUGCAAGGUUGGGCUUUGAUCCUAAAAUCCGGUUUCUAAACCUCCAAAGACUCCUUAGCAAAGCAGCCUGCCGAGCAAGCCUUUCUUAACUGAGCUUAACGGAUGGGACACGUGACCCAAGGCUAGGGCUGUGAGAAAGGAAUUUGAGGAAUGUUGAGAGGUGGACUCAAAACUUUGUGAUCAGCUGAAUUCAAACGAUUUUCCUGUGAUUCCCUAGUUCCAGAACAGAGUGACACCUGAUUGGGAAAGAGAAAGCUCUGGGCAAGACUAGGGUGUGGGUUGUAAAGAAGAUAGGACACAGGCUGACCCUGAGAGAAGGUCCUAUCCUUGAAGAUAUCAAAACAUUUCUGCAAAAUGAAUACCAAUCACACAGAAACUCAGAAGAGGAAGUCAUCAUCUCACUAAGCCUCAAAUAAAAAGCCAAAGACAUAAAGGAAUAAAAUAACAUUUAGUGAGCUGGAGAGGUAAUUUGCAGUUGAAAGCUCUGGCUGCUCUUGUAGAGACCCUACAUUCCAUCCUUAGGGCCCACAUGUUGGCUCACAAUGGUUCUGUCACUCUAGUUCCAGGGGAUUCAACACCUUUUUCUGGCCUCCUCGAGCCAGAGGCAAUAUACAUUAGGCACAGACUUAGAAAACACCCAUAUACGUAAAAUAUUUUUCGAACUUAAGGCUUCUAGACUAUUAUCUCUUAUGAAUUUAGAUGCAUUCUUACCAAAAUGUAUGUCUGAAUCAGUAUAUAAAAAGGAAUGAUACAUCAUGAUUAAGUGGCUGAAUCUAGAAUGCAAUGUUGAUUUAAUUUUCAAAAGAAUAUGGCUAUAGUGAUGGUUCAGCAGUUAAGAACUUGCUGCUCUUCCAGAGAGCACUGAGUUCAAUUCCCAGCACCCACAUGGUUGCUUACAACUAUCUGUAACUCCAGUUCCACAUGAUCUAACUACCUCUUCUGGCCUCCGUGGGCACUAGCCACUGAAGUGCUCAGCCAUGCCAUGCAGACAAAACACCUAUACACAUAAUUUUCUCUUUUUUUAAAGUUGUAUUUGUUUUAUUAUAUGUAAGUACAAUGUAGCUGUCUUCAGACACUCCAGAAGAGGGCAUCAGAUCCCAUUACAGAUGGAUGUGAGCCACCAUGUGGUUGCUGGGAUCUGAACUCAGGACCUUUGGAAGAGCAGUCAGUGCUCUUAACCACUGAGCCAUCUCUCCAGCCCUACACAUAAUUUUCUAUAAAAAGCAUAACUGUAACACUGCAUGAACUAAGGAAAAAUUAGAAAUCAUCUCAGUAGAUAUAUAAAAAAUAUAUAUAAUGAAAUUUUAAACUCACUAAACU
rnacentral:lncRNA from 1 species